rnacentral:tRNA from 1 species
UUAGCGGUCCAAAAUUCGUUAUAUUUCUUAUCCACCCUACUCUUUUACAAAGAGAUCUGAGCGGAAAUGUUUUUCUCUUAUCACAAGUCUUGUG